GGGUAACCUGCCCUAAAGUGGGGGAUAACAUUUGGAAACAGAUGCUAAUACCGCAUAAAACCUAGCACCGCAUGGUGCAAGGUUGAAAGAUGGUUUCGGCUAUCACUUUAGGAUGGACCCGCGGCGCAUUAGUUAGUUGGUGAGGUAAAGGCUCACCAAGACCGUGAUGCAUAGCCGACCUGAGAGGGUAAUCGGCCACACUGGGACUGAGACACGGCCCAGACUCCUACGGGAGGCAGCAGUAGGGAAUCUUCCACAAUGGACGAAAGUUUGAUGGAGCAACGCCGCGUGAGUGAAGAAGGUUUUCGGAUCGUAAAACUCUGUUGUUGGAGAAGAACGUAUUUGAUAGUAACUGAUCAGGUAGUGACGGUAUCCAACCAGAAAGCCACGGCUAACUACGUGCCAGCAGCCGCGGUAAUACGUAGGUGGCAAGCGUUGUCCGGAUUUAUUGGGCGUAAAGCGAGCGCAGGCGGUUUCUUAAGUCUGAUGUGAAAGCCUUCGGCUCAACCGAAGAAGUGCAUCGGAA
rnacentral:rRNA from 2 species